GCCAAAGGAUGAAGUCUGGAUUGCAUUAGCACAUUGUGCAGAGAUGACUCCUAUCUAUCACCCAUUACUGAUGGCA